CCUCUCCUUCAAAUUUAGUAAUACUUAAUGAUUUAAAAAACCAUCGAGUAUUGUUAUUUGAGAAUCAAUAUCCACUAAAUAGCAAAUUUAUAAAUUUUAUUUUACAAAAAGACUACUAUCUCCAAUGCCAAAGAUUGGGAGGGACACAAAGUCUUACGCUUAAAGAAAGUUGAAGUGAAAAAUACAGAAAGUUAAAAUAUUUUUUUAUACUUUUUAUGUAAAGAAAAGUCAUUAAAAUUAUUUCAAAUAUAA